UACGGAGGGUGCAAGCGUUGUCCGGAAUUAUUGGGCGUAAAGAGCUCGUAGGCGGUUCGUCGCGUCGGCUGUGAAAUCCCGAGGCUCAACCUCGGGUCUGCAGUCGAUACGGGCGGACUGGAGUUCGGCAGGGGAGACUGGAAUUCCUGGUGUAGCGGUGAAAUGCGCAGAUAUCAGGAGGAACACCGGUGGCGAAGGCGGGUCUCUGGGCCGAAACUGACGCUGAGGAGCGAAAGCGUGGGGAGCGAACAGG
rnacentral:rRNA from 1 species